AUACGGAGGAUGCAAGCGUUAUCCGGAUUUAUUGGGUUUAAAGGGUGCGUAGGCGGUUUGCUAAGCGGGAGGUGAAAUGCCGGCGCUCAACGUCGGAAGUGCCUCCCGAACUGGUGGACUUGUAUGACUCUGCCGUGGGAGGAAUGUGUAGUGUAGCGGUGAAAUGCUUAGAGAUUACACAGAACACCGAUUGCGAAGGCAUCUCACGAAGGGUUGAUUGACGCUGAGGCACGAAAGCGUGGGGAUCAAACAGGAUUAGAUACCCUGGUAGUCCACGCCGUAAACGAUGAUGGCUAACCGCUGGUUUAUUCGGAUCAGUGGCCAAGCGAAAGCGAUAAGCCAUCCACCUGGGGAGUACGGCCGCAAGGUUGAAACUCAAAGGAAUUGACGGGG
rnacentral:rRNA from 1 species